rnacentral:lncRNA from 1 species
GGUACAUUUUCUGAGCCCUCAAAAUACAAAAGGCAAGUAAGAAGAAAAAUGGCCCCUAAAAUUAAUUGGGAAGUAGAUUACUGUCACCGAAAUGCAAACUGUAGGGCAUACGUAAAAUGGAUACCCCUGAAGUAUGUUUAAAAUUGCCAAGAGAAAAAUGCAAGCCUAACACUCAUGUCAAAGAAUAAGAAAUUACAAAAGUUAAAUAAGUACAUAUGAAGCAAGAACAGAUGGAUAUGAAAACUACCAAUGAGAAGUCCUGAGCAUGAAAAAUUGCCGUUGAAAUAGCUCAGUAGGUCGUGUAAGUUGUAGACUAGGCACAAGCAAAGACAGAGAACUAAGGGACUAAAAUGCAUUUGCCCAGGACACAGAGCAGAGAGACAAGGGGGCGAGGGUGGAGGAGACCAGCUAAGCUCUCCGGAGGGAAUGAGAUGAAAAGGACUGACUCCCUGUAGGAAGAAGAAAGCAGGGCUAGCUGAGUUGUUCCAAAGGAGAGUGGCCAUUUUACAGAAUCAGAACUGUCCAGUUUGAGCCCCACACUGAGGACUGAGCAGGAUGGACACUCGCGCCCACAGGGAAACUGAACGAGGAAUAAGAGGAAACCUGACGUGACUGGGGGGAGAACAGGCGUCAACGUCAGGUGUGGUGACACGGGAGACAGGUCACGGCCCCACAGCGCUCAUGUUCAC